AGAGCUAUAUUUCUUCUGUUGCAUAUUUCAGACUUCACACAGCUUCAGGCACAGUCAGCUCCUGGGUUCUUCUGAGCGCCUGGCGGUCCUCAGCCAGGCCACUACUGAGGUUGCCCUGCACCGGGUGAGUGCAUGGGGCCCUGUCUUGCCAUUGCAGGCAGGGUGUGUGGGAGGCCCCAGAGCCAGCCCCACCCCUGCUCUAGGCUCCCCUGGCUACCGGGGAGAGGCUGUCCCGGGGCCCAGCUCCCACAGUGGCCCACAUCACCUGUUCUGCUGGCCUCAGAGCCUCAGCUGUGAGCACCACAGCCCGGAGAGCGAGGCACAGGGCUCAGCAGGCCCUGCUCGCUCACCACAACAUGGCCCACUUCCUGGGGCUGCUGCCAGCCCUAUUGCACAUCUCUUGUUUCUACUUCCUCCCCCACCACCCAUUUUAUAUUUUAAAAAGUACAAACUAGAGGUGGGGGGAGGCAGAGCUCAGGCGGGAAUGCUGGAGCCCUUCUCUGGUCCCGCCCCUCCAGUCCCCUAGCAGAGCCGACUUCACUGUGUCUCCGGGCUCUUGGUGACUGAAAUUGGGGACUGCCUGGGCCUCUCUGGCCUCACCGGUGGGCGGGACAUGCUCCAUCAUCCGUAAGGUGCAAUUCCCGGUCCUCCGGGCACGCUGGCUGGGGCCCUGCUACCUGAGUCGCCCGUCUGCUUUGACAGGCCCCAGCUCUGACUUGGGGUCGGGGGACAGGGAGCUCCAGCUGGUCAGUCUGCAGGGUUCCAGGGAGGGGCAGGCUGAGGGGGCCCAUGGCACACAGUCCGGCCACAGACCAGAAGCUGCUCAGUUCCCCAUCUGUCCAGGCCUCCAGCGCAGGCCCUGUGAGUUCUGCACGCCUCCGGGUGGCCUCCUCUGCAGGCUCUGGCUGGGGCAGGUUCAGGAUGCCGCUCAGGCCUUGGAAGCUCUGCUCCGUGUACUCAUUGUGGGGCGGGCCUGCGUGCAGCCAGCUGGCAUCGUCUGGGGGUGCAGAGCUGGCAGUGAGCAUGGCCACGGACCCCACUCCAGUGCCCAUCUCGUCCCUCCCAGAGUCCAUAUUGCAGCGGGGCCUUGGGCUUGGUACAAGAGCAACUGUAUAAAACCAAGGCAGUAACCCCUGAUUUCCCAAGUUUAGGACUAAGUCAAACAGUGUACUCAAAUUACUUUAGAAAGUAAGAAACAACUGGGUUUGUGUCAUCCACACCCCUUCUUGUCCCUUGUCAGUGGCUCCCAGAGGCUCAGAAGCCUUCCUUCCUGUCACCCUUGCAUCCACUUCCCCUCUAUCCUCUGUCUCCCUCAUGCAGACACCUGCUGACCUUCUUUGUUUGAGACAGGGUCUGUGUAUUCCAGGCUGGCCUUGAACUCACUGUGUAGCCCAGGCUGGCCUCAAACUUGCAGCAAUCCUCCUGCCACAGCCUCCUGAGUACUGGAAUUAUAGGUGUGUGCCAUCACCAUGCCUAGUGGCACCUGCCAACUUUUUCCCUCAGCUCAGAACAUGCACUGCCUCUGUCCUUGAGGCCCAGCCCAGUCCCUGCCUGCUGAGCCGCCUCUCCUCUUCCCUCUGGGGUCUCCUCCCCUGGACUGAGUCCCAGGUACCCUGGGGACCCAGCUUACCUGCCCUGGGUCUGCCCAGCCCCCGCACACCCAUGCUACUCCUGCUCUUACGCACCCUCUUGAGAGAGGACAUGGCGGGGGAGGGAAGCACACCCCACACCCACCACUCUUACCUCUCAUCCCCAGAACCCCACGGGCUGCCCCUGGCAGAACCUGCCCAGCCCUGGCUGUUCCGCCUGCUCCCUUGGCUCAGCCUGGGGGACUGGGAUGGUCACUCACAUUUGCUGUCCCAGGACUAUGGAGCUUGGGGACCUAGAGGCUCAAGUCAGGCUCUGCUGUGGGGGGGCCACAUACAGAGCAGCAGACAGAGCCAGAGCUUGAGGCGGACACAGAGACUGGACAGGAUGUAGGACAAGGGUGGAGAAAGCAGCUCUGGUUCCCAGUGACACCUGACACGGCUGUGGGUCCCAGGGAGGGGCACGUUCUUCUAUCAUCUCUCUAUUUUCACUCGAGCUGCUGGGGUGGGGUGUGCCCCAUGCACCGCCCCCCAGUGCACACGUAAGGAGAUGGUGCUCAGGAAGGCCAAGGAGUUGCCACAUCCCAGAGCCUGGUCUGCCAGGCUCGCGUGCGCCCCCUUCCCCCAUGCCCACACAGGCCCUCCUAGGACAGGCUGGCUGCCUGUGGCCAUCUCCCUAGCAGAUCCUAUCCUGCCCGGCUCCUGGGCAUCCUUUGGGCCCGAGAUCCUUACCUUUCCUGAGAGGUAGUUUGCGGUUGAAGGUCAAGGGCAGCACGAGGAAGCGGGUCUCACCCAGGGGCUCCCAGAACUGCAGCAGCCGUACGGUCCAGGCUCCCGGCCGCAGGGGCCGGCUGAGCGGGGGCUUAUACUGGGUGACCUCAGUCUCCGAGUCCACGGUGAUAUCAUACGAUGUGGCCACCACAUAAGCUGGGUCAAUCCAGACCACAGUGGCUGUGAGGUUGGGGCCCCGGGCCCAGCGCUGCAUGGCCACAGGCUCGUCCAGCGGUCCCAGCAGCCCCCAAAGUUCCGGAAGAGACGCUCUUUGGGGGUCCCACUCAGUGCCAACCUGCAGGAGGCAGGCAGCUGGGCAGGUGCCUGGGAAAAAUGUCCUCUCUACUCUGAUGCUGCCUCUCACUGCCACGUCAGGCCAGUCACUGCCUCUCUCUGGGCCUCAGUGUCCCCAUCUGUAAGAUGAAGGGGUCAGACGGGUAUUCCAAUCUCUCGACCUUGACAUCUGCUCUGGGCUUCCAUCCUGACUGCUGUGCUGUGGGGCCGGCAGGGAGCCCAUCCCAGUGGGAAGCCCCAGCUUCCAGGGAGGACCCUGAGGGGACCCCUCAAUGUGUAACCCUAGGGCCCCUCUGGCACGUCCCAGUCCCGGUGGAAGAAUUCCUGGGGUGUGGAAGACUGGGCUUGUGUUCAACAGAACUGACAACUCCCUAUGGGGGAAGGGCUCCUUGGUGUGAGCAAGCCAGGUGACACAGGUGCUGUCACUGGGAAAGAGCGGUCCAGGGAACCCGGCCCACACAGGCCUGAUGGAAUCCUGACCCCUCCCUUGGCGUCUGUCCCUCUCCCCACUCCCUGGGUCUUGCUGGGGGUAAGGAGGAAGCAAGGGGGGACCUGUCCCACCUCUACACUCUGGAGCCUGCUGGCCUGGUCACUGCGCCCCAACAGCUUCAGCGACCCCUGGGGCAUCAGCCACAUCUCAAGCGUCUCUGCCGGCCCCUGGGCUGAGGGCUGCACCGCCUGCGUCACCAGGUAGCCCUGGAAAUGGUCGUCAUAGAAAUACAGGUGCACGCUGGACGGCGCAAACCCCUGGGCUCAAACCUAAGAGGGUUCCAGCAGGGAGAAAGGGAGAUGCCAUGAGCAACCUGGCUUGGCCUGGACUCUGGGGCGGGGCGUCACUGGGAGUCCCAUUCCCGGGCACUUCCGGGUCCCACGUCUCACGCCCCACGGCACCUACAUCCCUGGCUCUUGCCUUUCAUUACUUUUUUCUUACAUUUUUCCCUGCCUCAGACUGGGGCCUCACUGUGGGCAGUUGCUGUCUCUUUCUGAUCACCCCCAACAUGGCACCACACCCUGACGGCCUGUUGUAUGUGGAGAGGGCAUCUCACCUGCAGAGCGGGGCGGCCGGUGGGGGUGCGGCAGUGGCGGCGUGGCGCAGGCCAAGGCGGGCGAAAGCGGUGUAGGCGGUGAGCAGGAUGUCACUGAGCCCACCCGGGCCAUCGGCCACAUGGUAGGUGUUCUCCCAGUAGGCCUUGAGGGCUGGCGUGCCCGAGGGGUAGCUGCCAUACAGGUGGAAGUCCAAGAUCUCCAGAACCUCCUGGUUCACGGUGGACUCAAACUUCCGGGCGAAGAAGGUGGGCCUGGAGACCUGCUGCAGGGGGGAAGGCGAGGAAGGUGAGGGCUGCAGGGGCCACAGAGAUCAGCUCCUGGGGCUGCUGCUGCUGCAGCACUCCAGGCCCAGACCCAAGGGUGCUCCAGGUAGAGCCCCUCCUGCCUCUCCAACCCUGAAAGCUUGGGGAAAAGCUGGGGCCCCGGGAAAAACCUGCAGCCGCAGGGAAGUCCUGGGGCUUGAGUCGUUGGGGGAGCAGCCGCACCAGUCCACGAUGUGCUUGUACUGGCACUUGCAGCCCAGCUUGCGGUUCCAGUUGGUGACCCGCAGGUUGUUGUCCACCAGGCUCUCGCAGGCAGGGCUGUUCUCCAGCACCGUGUGGAAGAAGGACUGGGGUGGCAGGGGUGGCAGGGUGAGCCUCUGCCAGCCCAGACACACCCUCCCCAGCCCGUUCCCACCCACUCGCCCACCUCGGCUGGGAGCAGUGUGUAUGUGUAGAACUGGCGGAGCUGGGCCACCAGUGGGUCGUCCGUGUACACCACAUACUCCACGAAGCUACGUGUCAGCACGAACCAGUCGGAGCCGCCGUCCACCACGAUGCCCACUGGGAUCUGCCGCUCGCCCAGGCGCCACAUGUGCGAGUCACACUCAUGGAAAAGACGGUCCAGACCCUGCUUCUUGAUGAACCUGGGGGUGCAGAGGGGGUGGCUGAGGGUCCUGCAGGGUAGGGUCCAAGCUUGUGCAUCCACCUGGCAACCAGUACACUAUCUAUGGGUGCUUGGGAGGCUCUUUUUUCUCGGCUGUGGUACUAGGGAUCAAACCCAGGGUCUCAUGCAUGCCAGGCGAAGCGCUCUACCACCAAGCUAUAGUGUCAGCCCUCUUACUUUCAGACAGGCUCUCACUAAGUUGCCAGUCUGGCCUGGAACUUGAGAUCUUCCUGCCUGAGCCUCCUGAGUAGCUCGGAUCAGAGGUGUGGACUACCAUGCUUGGCUGGUUUAGAGGUUUUUGUACCACAGGGGUGGGGCCACUGAAUCCCCUUUUGUGGAAAUGAUGGCAACAAGACACCAGGGCCUCUGCUUACUUCCCUCACCUGGAGUUGUCCCGGCCAUGUGACUUGAGGAAGUUCUUGUCCCGGUUUUUGGAUAAGAAUGCCACUAGCUCUUCAUUGGUCCUGGCGAGGGAAGCAGGUACUCAAGUCUCGCUCCUGCUUGUACCGCCUGCACCCCCCUGACCCUCCGUUCUCAUUGAGAGCUCUCUGGCCAGGUUCCCCGUCCCAGCUGGUGCUCUGAGUGGGGGACCCUAGGGAGGACCCCACCCUUCCCCCACCCCUCGUCCCAGCAUCUAAGGGCAGAGGCCUCUGGCUCAUCCUCAUCCCUGUGUCCUCAGUCCCAGUCCCUGCUACAGGGCUGGGGCAGGGGGCCCCAUGUCUGGGCCAUGGGGACCCAGAGUGAGGCGGGGAAGCACACACAGCCUCCCCCACUCCCGUUCAGAGCCCCCCACCUGGUUGGGUAGUCGGUGGCGCUGAGGUUGAUGAAGAAGUCCCAGGUCCCGCAUGCUGCGCAGGUACAUCCUCAGAGGCUGGCGCCACCCCAGAUGGUGACCAUGCGCCAGGGCGUCACGCGCACAUUCUCAUACUGCUGCGCCAGUGCCAUCACCUCACGGUGCAGGUAGUUGGAGCGCUGGGGAAAGGGGACACUCAGUGGGUAUAGCCAGGCCCCGG
ensembl:lncRNA